CGCCCCGGACCGCCCUUUCCUACGACAACAAAAAAAAAAAGAGAAUGUCGGCGCUCGCGUGGCGGACGAGUUGUCUGACCUUCGGGGAACGAUAACGGCGUCGAGCGGCGGACGGGUGAGUAAUGCCUGGGAAAUUGCCCUGAUGUGGGGGAUAACCAUUGGAAACGAUGGCUAAUACCGCAUAAUAGCUUCGGCUCAAAGAGGGGGACCUUCGGGCCUCUCGCGUCAGGAUAUGCCCAGGUGGGAUUAGCUAGUUGGUGAGGUAAUGGCUCACCAAGGCGACGAUCCCUAGCUGGUCUGAGAGGAUGAUCAGCCACACUGGAACUGAGACACGGUCCAGACUCCUACGGGAGGCAGCAGUGGGGAAUAUUGCACAAUGGGCGCAAGCCUGAUGCAGCCAUGCCGCGUGUAUGAAGAAGGCCUUCGGGUUGUAAAGUACUUUCAGCAGUGAGGAAGGUGGUAGUGUUAAUAGCACUAUCAUUUGACGUUAGCUGCAGAAGAAGCACCGGCUAACUCCGUGCCAGCAGCCGCGGUAAUACGGAGGGUGCGAGCGUUAAUCGGAAUUACUGGGCGUAAAGCGCAUGCAGGUGGUUUGUUAAGUCAGAUGUGAAAGCCCGGGGCUCAACCUCGGAAUUGCAUUUGAAACUGGCAGACUAGAGUACUGUAGAGGGGGGUAGAAUUUCAGGUGUAGCGGUGAAAUGCGUAGAGAUCUGAAGGAAUACCGGUGGCGAAGGCGGCCCCCUGGACAGAUACUGACACUCAGAUGCGAAAGCGUGGGGGAGCAAACAGGAUUAGAUACCCUGGUAGUCCACGCCGUAAACGAUGUCUACUUGGAGGUUGUGGCCUUGAGCCCGAUGGGCCUUUUUUUCGGGAAGC
rnacentral:rRNA from 1 species